rnacentral:tRNA from 5 species
GGGCCCGUAGCUCAGCAUGGUAGAGCAGCGGACUCUUAAUCCGAAGGUCGCGGGUUCAAAUCCCGCCGGGCCCG